rnacentral:lncRNA from 1 species
GGAGUGUUUACCUACUAAGGCAUUGACCAUAAUGUUCUCGUACGAUCGGGAAACUUAAAAAAAACGAUCCAACAGCUGAUUCAGCCGGUAACGAAUUUCCGAUAUCUUAAAAGAUUCACAAUACAUAAGGAACUUCCUCUGCUUAAAUAAUUGAGCCCCAAAAUAAUGUGAAAUAGUUAAGUUUUUAUUCAAAAUUAUCGAAAGCAAAGUUUCAUAUGUGUUCUCAUACGAAUACUGACCCCCUCAAUACUGAAUAACAGACGGACGGCCACACGAAAAAAAAAAAAAAA